CGGUGGAUGCCUUGGCACUAGAAGCCGAUGAAGGACGUUACUAACGACGAUAUGCUUUGGGGAGCUGUAAGUAAGCUUUGAUCCAGAGAUUUCCGAAUGGGGAAACCCAGCAUGAGUUAUGUCAUGUUAUCGAUAUGUGAAUACAUAGCAUAUCAGAAGGCACACCCGGAGAACUGAAACAUCUUAGUACCCGGAGGAAGAGAAAGAAAAUUCGAUUCCCUUAGUAGCGGCGAGCGAAACGGGAAGAGCCCAAACCAACAAGCUUGCUUGUUGGGGUUGUAGGACACUCUAUACGGAGUUACAAAGGACGACAUUAGACGAAUCAUCUGGAAAGAUGAAUCAAAGAAGGUAAUAAUCCUGUAGUCGAAAAUGUUGUCUCUCUUGAGUGGAUCCUGAGUACGACGGAGCACGUGAAAUUCCGUCGGAAUCUGGGAGGACCAUCUCCUAAGGCUAAAUACUCUCUAGUGACCGAUAGUGAACCAGUACCGUGAGGGAAAGGUGAAAAGCACCCCGGAAGGGGAGUGAAAUAGAACCUGAAACCGUGUGCUUACAAGUAGUCAGAGCCCGUUAAUGGGUGAUGGCGUGCCUUUUGUAGAAUGAACCGGCGAGUUACGAUUUGAUGCAAGGUUAAGCAGUAAAUGUGGAGCCGUAGCGAAAGCGAGUCUGAAUAGGGCGUUUAGUAUUUGGUCGUAGACCCGAAACCAGGUGAUCUACCCUUGGUCAGGUUGAAGUUCAGGUAACACUGAAUGGAGGACCGAACCGACUUACGUUGAAAAGUGAGCGGAUGAACUGAGGGUAGCGGAGAAAUUCCAAUCGAACCUGGAGAUAGCUGGUUCUCUCCGAAAUAGCUUUAGGGCUAGCCUCAAGUGAUGAUUAUUGGAGGUAGAGCACUGUUUGGACGAGGGGCCCCUCUCGGGUUACCGAAUUCAGACAAACUCCGAAUGCCAAUUAAUUUAACUUGGGAGUCAGAACAUGGGUGAUAAGGUCCGUGUUCGAAAGGGAAACAGCCCAGACCACCAGCUAAGGUCCCAAAAUAUAUGUUAAGUGGAAAAGGAUGUGGCGUUGCCCAGACAACUAGGAUGUUGGCUUAGAAGCAGCCAUCAUUUAAAGAGUGCGUAAUAGCUCACUAGUCGAGUGACACUGCGCCGAAAAUGUACCGGGGCUAAACAUAUUACCGAAGCUGUGGAUUGUCCUUUGGACAAUGGUAGGAGAGCGUUCUAAGGGCGUUGAAGCAUGAUCGUAAGGACAUGUGGAGCGCUUAGAAGUGAGAAUGCCGGUGUGAGUAGCGAAAGACGGGUGAGAAUCCCGUCCACCGAUUGACUAAGGUUUCCAGAGGAAGGCUCGUCCGCUCUGGGUUAGUCGGGUCCUAAGCUGAGGCCGACAGGCGUAGGCGAUGGAUAACAGGUUGAUAUUCCUGUACCACCUAUAAUCGUUUUAAUCGAUGGGGGGACGCAGUAGGAUAGGCGAAGCGUGCGAUUGGAUUGCACGUCUAAGCAGUAAGGCUGAGUAUUAGGCAAAUCCGGUACUCAUUAAGGCUGAGCUGUGAUGGGGAGAAGACAUUGUGUCUUCGAGUCGUUGAUUUCACACUGCCGAGAAAAGCCUCUAGAUAGAAAAUAGGUGCCCGUACCGCAAACCGACACAGGUAGUCAAGAUGAGAAUUCUAAGGUGAGCGAGCGAACUCUCGUUAAGGAACUCGGCAAAAUGACCCCGUAACUUCGGGAGAAGGGGUGCUCUUUAGGGUUAACGCCCAGAAGAGCCGCAGUGAAUAGGCCCAAGCGACUGUUUAUCAAAAACACAGGUCUCUGCUAAACCGUAAGGUGAUGUAUAGGGGCUGACGCCUGCCCGGUGCUGGAAGGUUAAGAGGAGUGGUUAGCUUCUGCGAAGCUACGAAUCGAAGCCCCAGUAAACGGCGGCCGUAACUAUAACGGUCCUAAGGUAGCGAAAUUCCUUGUCGGGUAAGUUCCGACCCGCACGAAAGGCGUAACGAUUUGGGCACUGUCUCAACGAGAGACUCGGUGAAAUCAUAGUACCUGUGAAGAUGCAGGUUACCCGCGACAGGACGGAAAGACCCCGUGGAGCUUUACUGUAGCCUGAUAUUGAAAUUCGGCACAGCUUGUACAGGAUAGGUAGGAGCCUUUGAAACGUGAGCGCUAGCUUACGUGGAGGCGCUGGUGGGAUACUACCCUAGCUGUGUUGGCUUUCUAACCCGCACCACUUAUCGUGGUGGGAGACAGUGUCAGGCGGGCAGUUUGACUGGGGCGGUCGCCUCCUAAAAGGUAACGGAGGCGCUCAAAGGUUCCCUCAGAAUGGUUGGAAAUCAUUCAUAGAGUGUAAAGGCAUAAGGGAGCUUGACUGCGAGACCUACAAGUCGAGCAGGGUCGAAAGACGGACUUAGUGAUCCGGUGGUUCCGCAUGGAAGGGCCAUCGCUCAACGGAUAAAAGCUACCCCGGGGAUAACAGGCUUAUCUCCCCCAAGAGUUCACAUCGACGGGGAGGUUUGGCACCUCGAUGUCGGCUCAUCGCAUCCUGGGGCUGUAGUCGGUCCCAAGGGUUGGGCUGUUCGCCCAUUAAAGCGGUACGCGAGCUGGGUUCAGAACGUCGUGAGACAGUUCGGUCCCUAUCCGUCGUGGGCGUAGGAAAUUUGAGAGGAGCUGUCCUUAGUACGAGAGGACCGGGAUGGACAUACCUCUGGUGUACCAGUUGUCGUGCCAACGGCAUAGCUGGGUAGCUAUGUGUGGACGGGAUAAGUGCUGAAAGCAUCUAAGCAUGAAGCCCCCCUCAAGAUGAGAUUUCCCAACUUCGGUUAUAAGAUCCCUCAAAGAUGAUGAGGUUAAUAGGUUCGAGGUGGAAGCAUGGUGACAUGUGGAGCUGACGAAUACUAAUCGAUCGAAGACUUAAUCAA
rnacentral:rRNA from 1 species